rnacentral:rRNA from 1 species
AUGAGUUGCCUAGUCUGGAACAAUCGCGGGGCUGGCAGACCUGCGACAGUUUGAGAGCUUCGAGAUCUAUCGAAGCAACUUGCCCCCUCUAUUGUAUGCAUUCUCGAAACUCAGAUAGAGGGCUCACAUGUUGAGAAUCUUGUAGGAACUCUAGGUUACAAUAAAAGCUUUACUGUAAGCAGCUCCGGUAGGAGCGGUGGACUAGGCAUUUUUUGGAAUGAGGAAAUAAAGCUCGAAGUUAUUGGUUAUUCUGAGUACCACAUAGAUGUUUUUGUUGAGCAGAUGACAGAGAUUAAAACCAGAAUCACCUUUGUGUACGGUGAGGCCCAAACAAGUGAGAGGUACAAAACUUGGGACACGUUGCGCGGAAUUGCAGGAACAAGCAACGAUCCAUGGGUGGUGAUUGGAGACUUCAACGAAGUCCUUCAUCCCAUGAGCACGAUGGGGUCGGCCAACGGAGCCAAGCGUAGAUGGACGCCUUCUGAGAUGCUAUUGAUACGUGUGGUUUAUCAGACAUUAGUUAUAAGGGACAGAGUUGGACUUUUGAGAAGAAGGUGGUGGGGGGCACGUACACCAGGGUGCGGCUGGACCGGAGCGUGGCUAACCCUGCAUGGGCUUUGGCCUUCCCAGAUGCAUCUCUUGAGCACCUCAGUGCCGCUACGUCCGACCACGUCCCGUUGUUGCUUCGUCUCCAAGCAGUGCAUGCAUGCAGACGGGGACCACGACCGUUUAAAUAUGAGAUCUGCUGGGAGCGCGACCCAACGUUGGACUCAGGAGCUGGGGAUUCGGUGGACCAGGUGA